GCUACAUUGAGAGAAUUGGGCUUCCGGCAGAAAUGUUUGGGGGCCUUUUUCUUUCCCGAUUAAUCUCCCUUUUUAUCA
rnacentral:antisense_RNA from 1 species